CUCUAUGGCCAUCCCACCCUGAAUAUGCCCUGUCUUGUCUGAUCUCCGAAGUUAAGCAGGGUUGUGCCUGGCUGGUACUUGGAUG
rnacentral:rRNA from 1 species